rnacentral:rRNA from 1 species
UACAGAGGGUCCCGAGCGUUGUUCGGAUUUCAUUGGGUCGUAAAGGGUGCGUGAGGUGGCGCCGUAAGUGGGGUGAUGAAAUCCCGGGGGCUUAACCCCGGGACCUGCAUUCAUACUGCGGUGCUUGAGGAGCUGGAGAGGAGACGAUGGAAUUUACGGUGUAGCAGUGAAAUGCGUAGAGAUCGUAAGGAAGACCAGUGGCGAAG